rnacentral:lncRNA from 1 species
GCGGCCGCUGCACCCCCGCCGGAGCUGCCCGAGUGGCUACGGGACCUGCCGCGGGAGGUAUGCCUGUGCACCAGCACCGUGCCAGGCCUGGCGUACGGCAUCUGUGCCGCACAGAGGAUCCAGCAGGGCACCUGGAUUGGGCCCUUCCAGGGCGUGCUCCUGCCCCCGGAGAAAGUGCAGACCGGCGCAGUGAGGAACACGCAGCACCUCUGGGAGAACGAAGAUCUGGGCUGAGGAUUGGCAAUUUCUGAAAGGGUGAAGAAGGAACUCACGGGAGAGGUGAAGUCUCUGAGCACUGGAUCUCAGGUGCCAUCGAGGCAAAGUUCCGCCUUUUUCCAAGGACUGCCGUGGGCUUCAGCAACACCGCACACUACUAUCCAAUAGUGACCAGAAGCUUCUGUGGCGAUGCCUGGCCCUGCCCCCUCU